GCGGCAACAGCUCAAAUUUGAAAUCUGGUCCCCCCGCGGGGCCCGAGUUGUAAUUUGAAGAGGAUGCUUCUGGCAAGGUGCCGUCCGAGUUCCCUGGAACGGGACGCCGCAGAGGGUGAGAGCCCCGUACGGUCGGACGCCGAGCCUCUGUGAAGCUCCUUCGACGAGUCGAGUAGUUUGGGAAUGCUGCUCAAAAUGGGAGGUAAACCCCUUCUAAAGCUAAAUACUGGCCAGAGACCGAUAGCGCACAAGUAGAGUGAUCGAAAGAUGAAAAGCACUUUGAAAAGAGAGUUAAAAAGCACGUGAAAUUGUUGAAAGGGAAGCGCUUGCGACCAGACUCGCGCCCGUCGGAUCAGCCGUCGCUCGUCGGCGGCGCACUCCGGCGGGCUCGGGCCAGCAUCAGUUCGCCUCGGGGGGAGAAAGGCGGUAGGAAUGUGGCUCUUCGGAGUGUUAUAGCCUGCCGUGUAAUACCCCCGGGCGGACUGAGGACCGCGCGUAUGCAAGGAUGCUGGCGUAAUGGUCGUCAGCGACCCGUCUUGAAACACGGACC
rnacentral:rRNA from 1 species